rnacentral:rRNA from 1 species
CAAUAGCGUAUAUUAAAGUUGUUGCAGUUAAAAAGCUCGUAGUUGGAUUUCGGGAUGGCACGGCCGGUCUGCCGCAAGGUAUGUUACUGGCCGAGCUGUUCUUCUUCGCAAAGACUGUGUGUGCUCUUAACUGAGUGUGCUCAGGAUCUGUGACGUUUACUUUGAAAAAAUUAGAGUGUUCAAAGCAAGCCAGCGCUUGAAUACAUAAGCAUGGAAUAAUGGAAUAGGACUUUGGUUCUAUUUUGUUGGUUUCUGGAACCUUAGUAAUGAUUAAGAGAGACAGUUGGGGGCAUUCGUAUUUCGUUGUCAGAGGUGAAAUUCUUGGAUUUACGAAAGACGAACUACUGCGAAAGCAUUUGCCAAGAAUGUUUUCAUUAA